GAAGACCAACCCCCUUCCACGCUCAUCUUCUCCCUCCCCGGGUUCCUCUCCCCCAGGCAGGGCAAGGAAUUCGUCUCGCAAGACAAAUGGCCGUAUGAGAUACCGACUACAACAAUGUUUGUCUUCUCCAUCUCCCAUCAAGUGAUAAGCUGGUAGCAACCUUUGCUGGCUUCCACAUCAUCUAUCGUAUCAGAUUUACAGGUUUAAUUUUUCGUGUAUGCUGCGAAUUUGUGUUUUGGUUCCUUCUCCCCUGUCCUUAGAUGUGUUGCUUUCAUUCUGUAACUGAGUAUGUGGAAAAGUGUUUUUCUGUUGUCCUGUAUAUGUGGAAACUGUUUUUAGUUUUUGCAGAAGGAUGGAAACUGAAUUAGCACUUAUGUUGAAAUCAUGGAGUAUAUGUCACAAAUUUCGUCGGCAUGCACAAACUUCAUACUGUUUUGAUCAUGUUCUCAUUUGCAAUAUCCAUUUUCUGAGUUAUUUACUGAAAUAUGAAUGUUUUUCUUCAGUUCUGCUACAAUCUGGAUUCAAGGUAAUUGAUGGGGAUAAUCUUAUUGACUGAUGCAGGAUUGAAUGCUGUCGAUGACUGAAUGGGUCCUAGCAAUUUGUCUUAUUCGAUAUCCAGAUUAGUAAUAAGGAUCAAAGUUGUUGGCAUCCUAUUUUCAUAGUAUCUAUGGAACAAAAGAUGGCUUCACAUUUUACAUCUGAGAAGAGGCCUUCUUGCUCUUAGAAAUCUUAGUAGUGUCACACGUGAUGAAAAGAAGAGGAAAAAAUUUGUCAUGUAUGGGGACAGUAAAUUAACCUGCCUACUGUAGGUCAGUGUUUCACACAUCUUCUAUUGGUCCACUAUGAGGUUGGGCAGUUGGGCUUCUUGGAGGAAACUAAAUGAUAUCUACAAAUGCAGCAGUCGUGGGGACAUAAUGGAUCUCACAUGUUGAAAUUUCUUAGAUAGUUUGUACUAUUUAGAGAUAGAAUGUCUGAAAAGAAAAUGUAUGUAAACUCGAAUGUCUUUUCCAAGUGUGGUUCCACCUUAUGUAUGCUUAAAGCUUUCGUCAACUUUGUCUUUCCAAG